rnacentral:misc_RNA from 1 species
GAUGCCUUGUAGCCUGGGGUCUCCCUUGAGUCCAUUCUCUGCGGCAAACAUUUCCCUUUUUUUCCCUGACUUGAAUCAAAGGCCUUAACCUUCUGUCUUCUGAAAAGAAAACAGAGCAAAGCAAAGCAAGAAGCUUUCUUGGGUUUGCUUGGCAAGCUUCUGUAUGUCUCAGUUCGCUGAAAUGGGAUUUGGAAAAUUUUGUAAUUUCCGAACUAAGCAGGCACUGCUGAAGAAAUCUCUCAGUUCUCUAUGCAAUCUAAAGAGAGGAUGAGCGCAUUAAAUAACACAAUUUUGUUUUGUCUAUUUAUGUUUGGCAAAUCCAAUGCACUGUUCCUUUGAACCUUUGUUUCCAGCCACGCGAUUUAAAACCACGUGCAAUUGCAUCUUCUUUGCCUAAUUGCUUAGGCGUGAAAAAUCAGAUCGUUGUCGGAUGAAAAUCGGAGCAUUAGCGGACAAAAAAUGUCAACGAGGGACAGCACGCGCAACAUAUUGUGAGUGGAAGAGGGAGACAGAUCCUGCAGAGCAAGAUCUAGGUUGUCG